AGAGUUUGAUCCUGGCUCAGGAUGAACGCUGGCGGCAUGCCUAAUACAUGCAAGUCGAACGAGGAUCCUUCGGGAUCCUAGUGGCGAACGGGUGAGUAACACGUAGGGAACCUGCCCGCGCACCGGGAAUACGCUCUGGAAACGGAGAACAAAUCCCGAUGUACAGGAAGGAGGCAUCUUCUUUCUGUGAAACAUCCUGUUAAAGGGAUGGGGCGCGGAUGGACCUGCGGUGCAUUAGUUAGUUGGCGAGGGUAAAGGCCCACCAAGACGAUGAUGCAUAGCCGGCCUGAGAGGGCGGACGGCCACAUUGGGACUGAGACACGGCCCAGACUCCUGCGGGAGGCAGCAGUAGGGAAUUUUCGUCAAUGGGCGCAAGCCUGAACGAGCGAUGCCGCGUGAGUGAAGAAGGCCUUCGGGUCGUAAAGCUCUGUUGCGGGGGAAAAAAGGCAUCUGCAAGAAAUGGUAGAUGACAGAUGGUGCCCCGCCAGAAAGUCACGGCUAACUACGUGCCAGCAGCCGCGGUAAUACGUAGGUGGCGAGCGUUAUCCGGAAUGAUUGGGCGUAAAGGGUGCGCAGGCGGUCCUGCAAGUCUGGAGUGAAACGUAUGAGCUCAACUCAUGCAUGGCUCUGGAAACUGGAGGACUGGAGAGCAGGAGAGGGCGGUGGAACUCCAUGUGUAGCGGUAAAAUGCGUAGAUAUAUG
rnacentral:rRNA from 1 species